UUAUUUAAUUAAAAUUAUUAAUUAAUCAAACAUUAAUUUAACGGAAUUCUAUUGUAUCUUUAUCUUUUAGUUGGUGUAUCAUGCUCUACAAAUUACACUACAGUAGUGAUGAGUGAAGUUCUAUGCUACUAUAUAUUAAACCAGAAAUAAUGUGUGCAGAAUCUAAAUUGGAUUAGGCUAUUGGGGAGUAGGGGGAUCGAAAUCAACAGGAGGCUGGCGGCUGCAUAGAGAUGACAAUAAUGGAAGCAAAGUCCCUAUGCUCUUUGCUAUUCGCAUGCGCUCAUAAUGAUGAAUCAAAUUUUGGCCUCUAAAAUUAAAUUUUGAAGUAACUGUGAACAGUGAACCGGCGGCUGCCAAAAAGCAGAACGAUGAAAAGUCAAAGAGAAUUGAGGGAUUUAGUGGACCCCACGGUUGGUAACCAAACAAAUACGACUACGAUGAUUUGCCACGUUCCACCACCAGCCUACAAACGACACCCGCCCUCCACUAUCACCAUUUUCUAUUCUUAAUUCUUAUGAAAAAGUAUUUUAAACUUACUUUACUAAAAAAAUUUAAAGACAAUGAUAUUGAGCCAUUAAGAAAAUAUAAUCAACGUAGAAAUAAUAAUAUUGCAGCAUAAUAUUAUAGCCAGGGCGGCUCAAUCAUAUUUUAGGCCUUAAGCGAAUUAUUUUAAUUAGGUUUUUCAAAUAAUUUGAGGUAAAAAGUAUGUAUUAAUUUUAUUGAAAUUUUAUUUAUUUAAAAUCAAUUGCUCUAGCUUUUGAGAUGUAAAAUUAUUAAUCAAAUUUUUAUAUUCUAAUUUUCCUAAUAUAUAUUUCUCAAUAGACAAUAUAGUUAACCUAUUUAAUAUUUCCUAUAACAUAGAUGAUCUUAAAUAAGUUUUUAUCAAUGGCUCCUUUUUGAAAUUAAACUAACUUUUCUAUUCUUCUCUUAUUUUUGAAGUUUUUUGUGUCCUCGUGCAUAUUUUUUUAGUAGACAUUUUUUUUUUCUAGUGAAACAAGAGUAAUUAAGCAAACAAUUAUGCUAGAUGAUUACAAGAAAACAACCUAUGAACACAAUAAUAUUUUUAAAAAGAAACAAAAACAACUGAAUAACAUAAUUAAUUAAUAAGAGAAUGGAAAGAUAUAAUCUGGAAAUUUGAGAAAUUUAACUUUAAUGGAUUGAGGCUCUGAGUGGCAGUGAUCAAUGGAAAGUAAAACAAUUGAUUUUUUUUUCUUAAGUGAAAACUAGGGUAGAGAAAGUAGUUUUUUCACCAAAGCAAUG
rnacentral:lncRNA from 1 species